UGGAAUGUAGCUCAGAUGGGAAAACACACUGUAAAAGUGAGGUUGCAGGUUCGAUUCCUGCCUUUCCGA
rnacentral:tRNA from 1 species